rnacentral:tRNA from 1 species
AAUAUUAAAUCACUUAGUGAGUUGAGUUGAUACCUCAAAAGAAAGUUAUACUUUAAUAUUA